UAAAAUAUCGAACAAAGAAUAGUUUAAUGUAAGAAUCCUAGCUUUGGGAGUUAGGGGUAGAAGUUAAAAUCUUCUUUCUUUGA
rnacentral:tRNA from 2 species